GUCUGUUUGUAGUUGUAGAGAGUUUAACCUGCCCAUUGAUAAAAAUUUAAAGGCCGCGGUAAUUUGACCGUGCAAAGGUAGCAUAGUAAUUAGUUUCUUAAUUGGGAUCUUGUAUGAAUGGUUGGACAAGAAAAAAUCUGUCUUUAUAUUUAUUAUUGAAUUUAACUUUUGAGUGAAAAGGCUUAAAUGAAUUAAAGGGACGAUAAGACCCUAUAAAACUUUAUAUUGUUUAUUAUAUAGUUGAAUUUUAUGGAAUAAAAGCUUAAUAAUAGGAUUUAUUAUAUUGGGGUGAUAAAGGUAAAAUUUUUGAUAACUGCUUAAUUUUUAAAAACAAAAAUAAAUGAAGUGUAAAAUGAUCCUAAUUAAAGAUUAAAAGUUUAAGUUACUUUAGGGAUAACAGCGUUAUUUUUUUUGAGAGUUCAUAUCGAAAAAAAAGUUUGCGACCUCGAUGUUGAAUUAAAAUUUCUAUAUAAUUGCAGCAGUUAUAUAAGAAGGUCUGUUCGACCUUUAAAUUUUU
rnacentral:rRNA from 1 species